rnacentral:tRNA from 1 species
UCCCUGGUGGUCCAGUGGCUGAGAUUCAUGCUCCCAGUGCAUGGGGCCCGGGGUUUGAUACCUGGUUAGGGAACUA